rfam:Sus scrofa isolate TJ Tabasco breed Duroc chromosome 16, whole genome shotgun sequence.
AUCACUUCUCGGCCUUUUGGCUAAGAUCAAGUGUAGAGAUACAUUUGGACCUAAAUCUAUGACUCCAAAAUAUAUUUCACUUUCACUUGAGCAUGUAUUUUUUGGUUAAAUGAAAUUUUAAUAUAGAUUUUUUACACAAAAGUUCCC